rnacentral:lncRNA from 10 species
GAUCCAAGAUGCCGAAGCGACAGCCCAGCAAGUGUCUCUGGUGAAAUUCUUUGGGGUUUGCAGGGACCAGCCCGGCCGAGGCACCAAACUGCCUGUUCCCCACGCACCCCACAAGGGGCAGCGUGCGAGGAAACACCGGCGACCUCCGGGGCUAGGGCUUCCGUGGCGCAGGGUCAGCGAGGGAUACACCCGGGUAGCCACUACGAUCCGCAGCUCCGGGCCCGGGAACGCAGAGCAGCCCUCACUGGCAGACUCAAGCUUCGGGAGGGACACACCGACCCGGAAGUGCAGUCGUCCCCACCGCAAGUACUUCCGCUUCCCUCCGUAAGGAAGCUGGGACUCAGAGAAAUUAAGGGACUUGGUGAAACAGAGAAUGUCAAGGGAAUUGAUUCAGUAGUGGACGGGGAGUCCCUGAAGAUUGUUGAGCAGUGGAGACCUGAUCAAAUACUAAAAAAGUACAUGCAAUGGCAAGAAGAUCAACUAAGAGGUAGGAAAAUUAGCCAGGAUAUCAGGUAACAUUCAAUGAAAAAUGUGAUGAAAGUUGACAUGCAAAUCUAAACAAUAUACAUAUCUGCAUAUAUGUUGUAAGAACACAGACAACUGCAAUAAAAACUAUAAAGAAAAGCAAGCGAAUUGUAAAUGCAAAAAUUCAGACCAGCAGUCAGUUCUGGAAGGGUAGGCAGGUGCAGGUGAUGUAAUUAGGGAUGGACUAUCAGAGGGCUUCCACGGUAUUUAAGUGCUCUAUUCCUGAGUUGCAUUGUAAGAACCUGGGUGGCCAUUGUAUUUUUAGAAACCUAGAUACCUGAGUUUCACAAACUCUCUCAGAUCAUAACGCCCUUAGUGUCUCCACAAAUUUUUCAGUGUCCUGAGACAAAACUAAAUACCUGGGUAGGUUGUUAAGUCCCCGGAUCUUAAAAGUCGUAGAUCGUG